GUGCUUCCUUCAGCAGCACAUAUACUAAAAUUGGAAAAAUACAGGGAUUAGCAUGGCCUCUGAGCAAGAAUGACACACAAAUUCGUGAAGAAUUCUAUAUAUUU
ensembl:snRNA U6 U6 spliceosomal RNA